UCAGGUUUGGCAUCGGGAGGCCUCCGGGCUGCCUGCCCUGAGCCCAGCUCAGCCCGGACCCACCGGCCACCUUAAGUGGCCGAGGGGGCAACGAAAAUCUGCCAGGGCCUGGGGAUUCUGGUGGAGGCCUUGUGAGCUCAGCUGGUGUAGCCCCCUGUGCGUAGAGCUCAGGACGCCCGCAGAGUGGGUUUCCUGGUGUCUCUCUGGCCUUUGAUGUCUUCUUCCUCAUCCUGUCCAGCUGGUGUCAAACCCAUCACCCCUGGGGACUCACGGAGACUCUGCCAAUGCCUUGAAAUUCAUCCUUAUUUCCACAAGGACAGACGGUCCCUGCCCAGCACAGUUCUCGACAAGUAGGCGUGUGUUCAACAAUGAGAGCUGGCCCGGAGGAAAGAAGUUGCCAGCACGGGCACCUCUCUGCUAGCUCCUGUUGCCUCUGCCCCGCACCAGCGCCACAUAGGUGGCCAUGGCCGCCUCUCAAAAUAAUGGGAUAAUUGGGUGCAACGCGUGUGACCCCCACUCCUUCCAGAGAGCCCGCCAGUCUGUCUUUGUGGGAACCCACAGGGAGCAGGGGGAGAAAGAAAGACAAGAACGAUAGCAGAAGAAUUUCUUCUUGCCUCGAACUGCAAGCUCUUCUGGGACAGAACGUUACACUCUCCUUCUGUCUGCCCCCAGCCUCCGACUUCUCUUUCCUGACUGACAGGUAGAGUACCUAACACAGAGCCCGGGCCCUCCCAGGGACUGGAGCUGGUAUUGAAAAGCUAGACCCAGCCCCAGGGUCCUGUCUCUGGUUUGCCAAAAGGUAGAGGAGAGCAGCCGCUGAGGGCAGUUUGGAAGGCCUCGAGCCCGACCUGUGGGGGCUGGUCCAGGGCCCUGCAGGAGCAGGGGUAGGUGGGACCUCACCCAGGUCUGGCAGAGGGUCAAGUCCAUUGCCCCAUGCAAAAACAAAGAAAAACAUUGCUUCAGUAAAUCAGAUACCCACCCGUCCAGGUGCAGACCCCAGUGCUUGCUUCCAUGCUGUAAAUUUGGAGCAGCGGGACCUGAAAAGGUCCGAAAAGAAAUAAUCUAGAAAUGGCACGAGCCCUUGGCCAGCAGGAAACCACUGCAUUACACCGGCAUCACCAAAUGGUUAAUAGGCACCGGAAUAAAACUCUUUAGCCUUG